rnacentral:rRNA from 1 species
UACAGAGGGUGCAAGCGUUAAUCGGAGUUACUGGGCGUAAAGGGCGCGUAGGCGGCUUUUCAAGCGUGCGGUGAAAGCUCGGGGCUUAACUCCGAGUCUGCCGUGCGAACUGGGAGGCUUGAGUCUGGUAGAGGUCGAUGGAAUUCCGGUGUAGCGGUGGAAUGCGUAGAGAUCCGGAAGAACACCGGUGGCGAAGGCGGUCGACUGGGCCA